UACGGGGGGGGCAAGCGUUGUUCGGAAUUACUGGGCGUAAAGGGCUCGUAGGCGGCCAACUAAGUCGGACGUGAAAUCCCUAGGCUUAACCGGGGAACUGCGUCCGAUACUGGAUGGCUAGAGUUCGGGAGAGGGAUGCGGAAUUCCAGGUGUAGCGGUGAAAUGCGUAGAUAUCUGGAGGAACACCGGUGGCGAAGGCGGCAUCCUGGACCGACACUGACGCUGAGGAGCGAAAGCCAGGGGAGCAAACGGG
rnacentral:rRNA from 1 species